AUUGAACGCUGGCGGCAGGCCUAACACAUGCAAGUCGAGCGAGAGGCGGACGGGUGAGUAAUGUAUGGGGACUGCCCGAUAGAGGGGGAUAAAUACUGGAAACGGUGGCUAAUACCGCAUACUAUCGGAUAACCCAUAUGGGAUUGGCUAGUGGGUGGGGGAAAGGCUCACAUAGGCGACGAUCUCUAGCUGGGCUGAGAGGAUGAUCAGCCGAACUGGGACUGAGAAAGGGCCCGGACUCUGCCGGAGGCAGCAGUGGGGAAUGUUGCUCAAUGGGCGCAAGCCUGAUGCAGCAAGGCCGCGUGUAUGAAUAAGGCCUUAGGGUUGUAAAGUACUUUCAGCGGGGAGGCGUUACCCGCAGAAGAAGCACCGGCUAACUCCGUGCCAGCCGCCGCGGUAAUA
rnacentral:rRNA from 1 species